GCCACGGCACGGCCCGGCUCCGCGCAGCGCCAGGGGGCGCCCUGCGGCCGCCGCCGUUCCCCGCCGCUCGGGGCCGAGCCGAGCCGGGCCGGGCCGGGGAGGAGCGGCGGCCCGUCCGGUCGCACUCGUGCAGGCCGAGGUGGGGCCCUGCCCGCUGCCGCCGCAGCUCCGCGCCGCCAUGAGCGCCGGGCAGGCCGCGGGGGAGGCGGCGGACACUGCCGCGCACUCGGCGCUGCCCAGGGUGCUCUCCGCCCUCUUCUACGGGACCUGCUCCUUCCUCAUCGUGCUGGUCAACAAGGCCGUGCUCAGCGCCUACAGCUUCCCAUCACCAAUGUUUCUUGGAAUCGGACAGAUGGCAGCCACCGUACUUAUCUUGUAUGUGUCAAAAUUAAAUAAGAUUGUUCACUUCCCCGAUUUUGACAAAAGUAUACCUGUGAAGUUGUUUCCUCUGCCUCUGAUUUACGUUGGAAACCACAUAAGUGGAUUAUCAAGUACCAGCAAACUCAGUUUGCCGAUGUUUACAGUGCUCAGGAAGUUUACCAUUCCACUUACUUUACUGCUGGAAAUCAUCAUACUUGGGAAACGAUAUCCACUGAGUAUUAUAGUCAGCGUAUUUGCCAUCGUUCUUGGGGCUUUUAUAGCAGCUGGGUCUGAUCUGUCUUUUAAUCUGGAGGGCUACACCUUUGUAUUCCUAAAUGAUAUCUUCACAGCAGCAAAUGGAGUUUACCUAAAGCAGAAAAUGGAUCCAAAGGAGUUGGGAAAAUAUGGCGUCCUUUUCUAUAAUGCUUGUUUCAUGGUGGUACCAACAGUUAUUAUUAGCUUUUCUACUGGAGACUUUCAGCAGGCAACACAUUUCCAGCACUGGACAAAUUUUUUAUUUGUCUUUCAAUUUAUUCUUUCCUGCUUUUUGGGGUUUCUCUUGAUGUAUUCUACUGUCCUAUGCAGUCAUUACAAUUCUGCGCUCACAACGACAGUAGUUGGUGCCAUCAAGCUUUUGUUUCCUUUCAGAAUAUAUCCAUUGCUUACAUUGGAAUGUUGAUUGGUGGAGAUUACAUAUUCUCCGUGUUAAACUUCAUAGGACUAAAUAUUUGUAUGGCAGGAGGAUUGAGAUAUUCGUUUUUAACCUUAAGAGGAAACAGCAAGCCUACGCAACCUGGGGAUGAAGAGGAUGCACUUCCUGAGUCAGUUAGCCAAAAUGCCUGACUUGAAAGAGACUGAAGAUAGAAGUUGGAUUAGCAUUGCUGAGAACUUAAAUAAGUGUAUGCUGGAACAUAUUUGGAACGAGAAAAAAAUCUACCUCAGUUGCCACAGGUGUACACACAAUUCGUUGGUUCAGAGAUAUUCUUGCACACCAUGUUUUUUACAUGUGGACAAGUUUAAUUUUAGCCUUUUUUUUUCACUAUAAGCGAAUUUAUAGGAAGAAAUGCCAUGAGCACAUCUCAAGUUUUAAAUUUUAUUCGUUUACCUGUACUUCGGUGCUAUUUGUACUCAACGAGACCCAUGAGUUCUGUUUCAGUGUGUGCCAGUACUCUCUGGGGCAGAACUCCCAGUAAAGAUGCUGAGCCUUGAUUCACUGUUGCCUUAUGCCAUAUGCAAUCUUUGAUAUCAGUGAAGAGAUGAAAGAUGCUGGUGAUUCAGAAUGAUGUCACGUACGCAUUUGGUCUUGUUUAAAGUGACUGUGGAACGUAUAGAGCAAAGAGAAGAUGUGCCCCAAGAUUGUUACCUGUGUGUUGACUAAAGAAUUCAGGAUAUGGCCAGGUGUGUUCGCUAUGCAUUUUGUAGACAUUAUCUCUCAAUCUUUUCCUUAUCCUCAAUAACAUCAUGGUGUUCUGCUGCAGUUGUCACUGUUGGCUAUAAGUGAACCCUGGUAACUUUUCUGCAGGAUCAAGGAGAGAAGGAAGUUGAGAGAUGAUUUUUUAGUAUUUAAAAAUAUAUUUUUUGUGUGUGUGAGCCAGUAUCAAACAGAUAAUGAGGAUAGAUAACAAAGGUAAAUGUAUUUUUGUUUAGGUACAUUAAUCUUUUUAUGUCACAGUCCCCUUCUCUGAUGUUUUGUCUAUACUUACUGUUUAAUGCUGCAGAGAAGUAAUACUACUAUUUAUGAACUACAAGAAGGGAGACUGAUUGAUAUAUGGAAGACUAACUGGUGCUUAAGUGAGGAGAAAGGACCAGUGUCCUGCUGUAUCUUAUACAUGCAGUGAAAGCUUAUCUGAUAUUAGUUCAUGCUUAAAAUUCAGAGCAAGCAAUUUUAACAAGCUCAGACCAGAAUGUGGUGGUCUGGGUUGUCAUUGGGGAUAAUAAUGGCACCACUCUGUAUCUUUAUUUCCCUUUCUGAAAAUACAGUUGAUAAUGCUUGAUAAUGUUCUCAAUAAUGUUCUUGAUAAUAUUCUCAAUUCCCUGCAAGCAUGAGCAAAGAUUUUUAAAAAUAAUCAAAAUAGGAUUUUGGAAGACCUUGACAUGGAACCAGGAUGAUCUAAUGGCUUGCGUGAUCCCUGCUUAAAUUAAAAUACAGCUAAAACUGAAAAGCAUUUAUCUGUACGUAACACGUGAGUGACCAGACUAGAUUAGAUCUAAGAAAUGUGUGUGCAGCUCAUGCCAGAAGCUUCAGGGAAUGACUGGGCUGCCCACUGCCUCUGUGGAUUUGAAUGGCAAGAGAACCAGUGGCUGCAGAUCCUAGAAGUGGAAUUUCAGGGCACAGUCAAAGUGGAAACUGAAGUCUGAGCUAUCCAGUUUCUCACAGCUGGCCAAGAAAUGGGAGUUUCAUUUUCUGCCUGUUGAAGAGCUGAAGAGGGAAGAGGUUGCUGCAAAUACUUUAGAGAGAUCAUCUGUUUUUAAAUAAUUCCUUUAUACUUAAAAAGCCUUCAAUAUUUUGAGUGUAUUCUUGUAUAGGACUGCUUUUUCUCCAGAUCAUCUCUACCUCCAGAAUCCUAAUUACUGAACCUCAACUCUCUGACAUGGGACAAGAUAUUGGAAAGUUUUCAUUAAUUACUAAAAGAUUAUGAGAGCCAUUUGAUUGCAAUACUGAUUGACACACAAUGGCAUCUGCUAUAUAAGAUGUAGUUCCCAAAAAGGAACAGCUACUGUAUGAAUUUAAUUCAUUAAUAUUUUGCUAUACCUUUUAUAAAUAAAGAGAGACAGAUCACAGAUUUAACAA